UGGCGAACGGGUGAGUAAUGCAUCGGAACGUACCCAGUGGUGGGGGAUAGCUCGGCGAAAGCCGGAUUAAUACCGCAUACGCCCUGAGGGGGAAAGUGGGGGAUCUUCGGACCUCACGCCAUUGGAGCGGCCGAUGUCGGAUUAGCUAGUUGGUGAGGUAAAGGCUCACCAAGGCGACGAUCCGUAGCUGGUCUGAGAGGAUGAUCAGCCACACUGGGACUGAGACACGGCCCAGACUCCUACGGGAGGCAGCAGUGGGGAAUUUUGGACAAUGGGCGCAAGCCUGAUCCAGCCAUGCCGCGUGAGUGAAGAAGGCCUUCGGGUUGUAAAGCUCUUUCAGUCGGGAAGAAAAGGCGGGCUCUAACAUAGCCUGUUGCUGACGGUACCGACAGAAGAAGCACCGGCUAACUACGUGCCAGCAGCCGCGGUAAUACGUAGGGUGCGAGCGUUAAUCGGAAUUACUGGGCGUAAAGCGUGCGCAGGCGGUUUGCUAAGACAGGUGUGAAAUCCCCGGGCUUAACCUGGGAACUGCGCUUGUGACUGGCAGGCUAGAGUACGGCAGAGGGGGGUGGAAUUCCACGUGUAGCAGUGAAAUGCGUAGAGAUGUGGAGGAACACCGAUGGCGAAGGCAGCCCCCUGGGCCUGUACUGACGCUCAUGCACGAAAGCGUGGGGAGCAA
rnacentral:rRNA from 1 species